GACGAACCGUGCGAACGUUGUUCGGAAUCACUGGGCUUAAAGGGCGCGUAGGCGGGCGCACAAGUCAGGGGUGAAAUCCCACGGCUCAACCGUGGAAGGGCCUUUGAUACUGUGUGUCUGGAGGGAGGUAGGGGCGUGCGGAACUUCCGGUGGAGCGGUGAAAUGCGUAGAUAUCGGAAGGAACACCGGUGGCGAAAGCGGCGCGCUGGACCUCUUCUGACGCUGAGGCGCGAAAGCCAGGGGAGCAAACGGG
rnacentral:rRNA from 1 species